rnacentral:rRNA from 1 species
AUUGUUCGCAAUGGGCGCAAGCCUGACGACGCAACGCCGCGUGGAGGAUGAAGGUCUUCGGAUUGUAAACUCCUGUUGCCCGGGACGAACAGCUUCAACCUAAUACGUUGAAGUGUGACGGUACCGGGUGAGGAAGCCCCGGCUAACUCUGUGCCAGCAGCCGCGGUAAUACAGAGGGGGCAAGCGUUGUUCGGAAUUACUGGGCGUAAAGGGCGCGUAGGCGGCCUGUUAAGUCGAACGUGAAAUCCCCGGGCUCAACCCGGGAACUGCGUCCGAUACUGGCAGGCUUGAAUCCGGGAGAGGGAUGCGGAAUUCCAGGUGUAGCGGUGAAAUGCGUAGAUAUCUGGAGGAACACCGGUGGCGAAGGCGGCAUCCUGGACCGGCAUUGACGCUGAGGCGCGAAAGCCAGGGGAGCAAACGGG